UGGGGAAUUUUGGACAAUGGGGGCAACCCUGAUCCAGCCAUUCCGCGUGAGUGAAGAAGGCCUCGGGUUGGUUAAAGACUCUUUCGGUCAGGAACGAAACGG
rnacentral:rRNA from 1 species